rnacentral:rRNA from 1 species
CCUACGGGGGGCUGCAGUGAGGAAUAUUGGUCAAUGGGCGGAAGCCUGAACCAGCCAAGUAGCGUGCAGGAUGACGGCCCUACGGGUUGUAAACUGCUUUUAUACGGGAAUAACGCGCCUUACGUGUAGAGCUUUGCAUGUACCGUAUGAAUAAGGACCGGCUAAUUCCGUGCCAGCAGCCGCGGUAAUACGGAAGGUCCGGGCGUUAUACGGAUUUAUUGGGUUUAAAGGGAGCGUAGGCCGCAUGUCAAGCGUGCUGUGAAAUGUCCGGGCUCAACCCGGGCCUUGCAGCGCGAACUGGCGUGCUUGAGUCCGCGGAAAGCAGGCGGAAUUCGUCGUGUAGCGGUGAAAUGCUUAGAUAUGACGAAGAACCCCGAUUGCGAAGGCAGCUUGCUGCAGCGGAACUGACGCUGAUGCUCGAAAGCGCGGGUAUCGAACAGGAUUAGAUACACCAGUAGUC